rnacentral:rRNA from 1 species
AACGAACGCUGGCGGCAUGCCUAACACAUGCAAGUCGAACGAGAUCUUCGGGUCUAGUGGCGCACGGGUGCGUAACGCGUGAGAAUCUGCCCUUUGGUUCGGAAUAGCAGUUGGAAACGACUGCUAAUACCGGAUGAUGACGAAAGUCCAAAGAUUUAUCGCCAGAGGAUGAGCCCGCGUAGGAUUAGCUAGUUGGUGUGGUAAAGGCGCACCAAGGCGACGAUCCUUAGCUGGUCUGAGAGGAUGAUCAGCCACACUGGGACUGAGACACGGCCCAGACUCCUGCGGUAUGAAGCAGUGGGGAAUAUUGGACAAUGGGCGAAAGCCUGAUCCAGCAAUGCCGCGUGAGUGAUGAAGGCCUUAGGGUUGUAAAGCUCUUUUACCCGGGAUGAUAAUGACAGUACCGGGAGAAUAAGCUCCGGCUAACUCCGUGCCAGCCGCCGCCGUAA